GAUGAACGCUAGCGGCAGGCUUAACACAUGCAAGUCGAGGGGUAACAGGGUGCUUGCACCGCUGACGACCGGCGCACGGGUGCGUAACGCGUAUAGAACCUACCUUUUACAGGAGAAUACCCCAGAGAAAUUUGGAAUAAUGCUCCAUAGUAUUAUUGAAUGGCAUCAUUUGAUAAUUAAACAUUUAUGGGUAAAAGAUGGCUAUGCGUUCUAUUAGCUAGAUGGUAAGGUAACGGCUUACCAUGGCAACGAUAGAUAGGGGUCCUGAGAGGGAGAUCCCCCACACUGGUACUGAGACACGGACCAGACUCCUACGGGAGGCAGCAGUGAGGAAUAUUGGACAAUGGAGGCAACUCUGAUCCAGCCAUGCCGCGUGCAGGAAGACGGUCCUAUGGAUUGUAAACUGCUUUUAUACAGGAAGAAACACUCCCUCGUGAGGGAGCUUGACGGUACUGUAUGAAUAAGCACCGGCUAACUCCGUGCCAGCAGCCGCGGUAAUACGGAGGGUGCAAGCGUUAUCCGGAAUCAUUGGGUUUAAAGGGUCCGUAGGCGGGCUAAUAAGUCAGGGGUGAAAUCCAACAGCUUAACUGUUGAAUUGCCUUUGAUACUGUUAGUCUUGAGUUAUAUGGAAGUAGAUAGAAUGUGUAGUGUAGCGGUGAAAUGCUUAGAGAUU
rnacentral:rRNA from 1 species